rnacentral:rRNA from 1 species
AUACGUAGGGGGCGAGCGUUGUCCGGAAUGAUUGGGCGUAAAGGGCGCGUAGGCGGCUUUGCAAGUCAGUAGUGGAAGUCCAUUUUUCAAGGAUGGAAGUGCUACAGAAACUGCGGAGCUUGAGUGCAGGAGAGGUUAUCGGAAUUCCCGGUGUAGCGGUGAAAUGCGUAGAGAUCGGGAGGAACACCAGUGGCGAAGGCGGGUAACUGGACUGCAACUGACGCUGAGGCGCGAAAGUGUGGGGAGCAAACAGGAUUAGAUACCCUGGUAGUCCACGCCAUAAACGAUGAAUACUAGGUGUAGGGGGUAUCGACCCCCUCUGUGCCGACGUUAACACAUUAAGUAUUCCACCUGGGGAGUACGGCCGCAAGGCUGAAACUCAAAUGAAUUGGCGGGG